UCGAAUCAAAUUUUAUUCUUGAAAAUUGGUUAAUUUUUAUCACAUUUAAUUUUUUUAUAAGAAACUGGUUCAAACAGUUAAAGGUCGAAUAAUAUUUGGAACACAAUUCCUAGAUUUUUUAUCACUAAACUUGUCGUUAGAAGAAGUCAUAUAAAACACAAUUUUCAUUCCUACACUUGUCACCAAAAGAAUUCAUAUGAAACUCAAUUUCUACUCCUACUUUUGCCACCAGAGAUAUUCACAUAAAACACAAUUCUUAUUAUUACACUACCACCAGAGAAAUUCAUACGGAACACAAUUUCUACUUCUAUAUUUGUCACCAUAUAUGAAUGUUCAAGUUUAACGUUUCAUGUCUACUUUGACGUCAUUGGUUGAAUACGCAACCAAUGACAAUAAGGUAUCGUUCCUACUAAUUGGAGACUUGCGCCACCACUCAAAGGAUUCGCGAAAGCAAAAUCCGUUAGAAAUUAUAAGAAAGAUUUUGGAACACACCGAUCUCUUUUGUGGAAUAUACACUAGAGGGAUCCACAUCGAAUAUAAUUCGUACUUUUUACUUCUCAUUGAAGCAGUUUCACAUGGAAGACAAUUUCGAACUGAACUGUUCUUUUUCAUAAGUGCAUCUUGUAACCUAAUUUCUACUAUCCUAGAGUUUAAAGUAUAGGUUCGUUGAAAAUGGUUACUCAUCUGUAAAAGGUUAAAUGUACGCUAUCGAUUUCACGACUAUGAACUCAUCUACAUAUCUCUCUUACGAAAAGCUAGUGCGGACUAACCCUUUGUUGCACUUGAAAUAUGCCAGAAGUGCUGACACGGACAUUAAUUUUACCAACUCGGUAUAUCAAUUGUACUGGACACGAAUAUCUUUGUAUCCUUACAUUAUGCACAAUUAAAUGAAGACAUCCAUCUCUGGAAAGAGGUUAAAGACUACAAUGUCUAAUCUAUAUUUGCUAUCAGGAAAAUUUACACCAAGGAAUUUCUU